rnacentral:tmRNA from 3 species
GGGGAUGCUGGGCUUCGACAUGUUGCCGGAGCAAAUUGUGCUAGAUGAGCUCGAGCUAACUCAUAAAACUGGUUCAAACAUUACAAAUGCAAAUACAUUUGUUAGCAAGCUAAAGGCUACUUUCAGUAUGCCAGCACUUGCAACUGUUGCAGUUUAACUUUUAAACUCAACCGUCUCACUGCUAAUGCCUUCUAGGCAGAGCGAGAUGUCAUAUCGAAGGCUUAAAUUGUAAUUUGUCCAAGCUUACAAUUGAAAUUCUUAUUGGACUCGGAUUUGUAGAAUUUGGUUUACUUUCUAUCUACAAAACCUAAAUCAAAAAAGUAAACUAUUCUAGAAGACUCAAUUUGUAAAGCUUCAUGGACGCGGGUUCAACUCCCGCCAUCUCCACCA